UCUGUUUAGGGUUAUGUAGCUAAAUCCCCUCCCUGCUUUUGGAAAUAGUCUCAGCCACUGAAGAAAACUGAGCUGCUGUUUGAUUUAAGGUUUUGUCUAAUUUGGCAUGUCAAAUUAUUUCGAGCCCAUGAGAAGGAGGAGGACAUGCUGAUGACAGUGUGUUCAUGCCUGUGUAUCCAACCAAUGUGUUAGGCUAGGAAUCCUUGCAGACACAGUGCUCGGCCAUGCAAAGUGAUGUUUCCGAACAGGGCACCGGGGGAGAGGCAGCCCAGCAAAGCUGCAGGUAGAGCAGAACUCCCUGCCACUGUUUUCCAUAUGUUCCUCUCUAUGGGGGCCUGGCUGGAUCUCGACCCAAGGAGGAAGCACAAUGGAAACUUAAUGGAGAAGUGAGUCCCACCCUCAGUUAUCAGAGCUUCCUUUGAGACAGUCCUGAACCAAAACCUUGGAAUCCACAUUCCUUGAUAUAUAAAAAGGUUUCUCUGUGUACGAAUCCAAGCACUGUGAUGUAGGAAACUACCUCCAAUUUGAAGGGAGAAAAGGAAUUUGGAUGCUAUGGACAGAGGACAGAAGAGCGUGAAUAGGAACGGAAUCUCUCCAGGGAUUUGUAAGCAGUUACCCAACAUCCACUUGGCUAUUAACCUUUUAUCUGAGAAGAGAAAUAACAAUACACCAUAAGAAGUGUUGCCCCAGGGGUAUUUCAAACCAGGUAUGCUAGAAAAUAUCUUUAAAAAUACUCCUUUUGAUGACAUUUCUUUCCCAAGAUUGCAGUCUUCCACUUGAGUUUUGACUGGCAGUUAAUUCUGGAUUUUUGGCAACUGCAAGUACCUGAAUGUUUGGGCACUUGCAUGAAACCAGCCUCCAGAUCACUGGCACACCCACAUACAUUGCAGGAGAUUAAAACAACAAUGAUCUCCAAAUUAACUCUUGGGAAAACUGGCCUGUAAACUGUGCUUUAUGUGGAAAUUACUUUCUUUUUCUUCUUAGCUUACUCAUGUCUCUCUCUCGUGAAGCAGUCAGGAUCUUGCCUUUGAAAUGGGGCUCACUAUAGAGUCAUCUCCUGGGGUACAGCUGAAAAG